rnacentral:rRNA from 1 species
UACGUAGGGUGCAAGCGUUGUCCGGAAUCAUUGGGCGUAAAGCGCGCGUAGGCGGUCCGAUAAGUCGGCUGUGAAAGUCAAGGGCUCAACCCUUGAAAGCCGGCCGAUACUGGUCGGCUAGAGUCCGGGAGGGGAUGGUGGAAUUCCCAGUGUAGCGGUGAAAUGCGUAGAUAUUGGGAAGAACACCGGUGGCGAAGGCGGCCAUCUGGACCGGAACUGACGCUGAGGCGCGAAAGCGUGGGGAGCAAACAGG